UACAGGGGGGGCAAGCGUUGUUCGGAAUUACUGGGCGUAAAGGGCUCGUAGGCGGCCAACUAAGUCGGACGUGAAAUCCCUCGGCUUAACCGGGGAACUGCGUCUGAUACUGGAUGGCUUGAAUCCGGGAGAGGGAUGCGGAAUUCCAGGUGUAGCGGUGAAAUGCGUAGAUAUCUGGAGGAACACCGGUGGCGAAGGCGGCAUCCUGGACCGGCAUUGACGCUGAGGAGCGAAAGCCAGGGGAGCAAACGGG
rnacentral:rRNA from 1 species